CCUUUUUCUUGUGUUUCAUGUAGUCAUUUUUGAGUGUAUCGUUUUCUGCUUUGAGUGUUUUUUUCCUUUGUUUUUUGUCGAAUUUCCUUUUUCUUGUGUUUCAUGUAGUCAUUUUUGUGUGUGCCGUUUUCUGCUUUGAGUUUUUUUUUCCUUUGUUUUUUGUCGAAUUUCCUUUUUCUUGUGUUUCAUGUAGUCAUUUUUGUGUGCGUCGUUUUCUGCUUUGAGUUGUUUUUUCCUUUGUUUUUCGUCGAAUUUCCUUUUUCUUGUGUUUCAUUCAGUCAUUUUUAUGUGUGUCGUUUUCUGCUUUGAGUGUUUUUUUCCUUUGUUUUUUGUCGAAUUUCCUUUUUCUUGUGUUUCAUGUAGUCAUUUUUGUGUGUAUCGUUUUCUGCUUUGAGUUUUUUUUUCCUUUGUUUUUUGUCGAAUUUCUUUUUUCUUGUGUUUCAUGUAGUCAUUUUUCAUUUACAUUUUUCGUAUUGUGAGUUUUUAUCUUCACAAUUCGCUAUUUUUCCUUUUAUUUCCUCACUCCUUUUGCUGUCCUUGCAGAUUGUCAUUUUCCUAUAUUUUUCUUCGUAUCUCGUAUAUUAUUUCCAGUUUAGUUUUUAUUUCUUAUUUAUUUUCCUUAUAUUUCAUCAUUCUUGUGGUUUUGAUCAAUCGUCAUUUCUUCCAAUUUUCAUAUUUGCUAUUUUCGUUUUUUUUUAUUUCCUUGUAUUUUCUUUCUUAUAUUUCAUCAAUCUUGUAGUUCCUCUAAGGUGUUUUUUCUCUGUUUUUCCCUCUUGGUUUUAAUUCGAGGUUUUCAUUUUAUAAGCAGUCUUUGGUGUUUUCAAAUUCGCUGUACCUCUUAACUAACAAUCCAACUCUCUCUAUAUAUUUUCUCCUUUAAUUUCCGUUUCACAUUUCAAUUCACCUCAUAAUAAUUUCCGUCACGAGUUAUCUCUCCACUUUUCCGUGUUCAUUUUCCUCGCCUACCUUUGCUGUACAUCCACCUGUCAAUGUGAUUAUGUUGUCAUUAUGAUAGUGAUAACUCCAUUCCUACGGCGUGUGAGUGAGUGAGUGAGUGAGUGGAGGAGGGGUGGAUGGUAUGUGUAUAUGUGUGCAUGUGUCCAAUAGUUAUGUAGCCAAGGUCACAUCUCAAUCUAUAUGCCAAUCAGCGAGGAGCCAAAUGCACCGCUCAAUGCAAACAGGAACAGGGCGAUCAUUGCAUACCUCGAUACGUCAAUCAGA